UCAGUGGAUCAUUUCUUACUUCAUUUAGGAACAUCUUAGCAAUGAUUAUAUCUGACAAUAUCUUGCAACGUCCAUCCUUGAAAAAACUAUGUACAUCUUGAAAGGUCUUCACCAUCCAUAGACCCACUGAUUCUUCAUAAGAACAAUAUAUUCUCUAAGAACACGGGAUUUCACCUUCAUCCACUUGGACUCCACAUUUAGCCUCAGAUUUCACUCCUCCCCAUCUAGUGAACUGAACAUUCCAUCCUCCUUGCAAAGCAUACUCCAACACUGCUUCCCUAAACUUUUUGACACUAUCAAAUACUUUCCUUAUAUGUAACUUGCCACUGCCUUUCCUCCAUCUAUCUUAAGGAUUCCCAGUUUCUUC
rnacentral:lncRNA from 1 species